GCGGAAAUAGCUUAAUGGUAGAGCAUAGCCUUGCCAAGGCUGAGGUUGAGGGUUCAAGUCCCUUCUUCCGCU
rnacentral:tRNA from 7 species